rnacentral:rRNA from 1 species
AGGGUUCGAUCAUGGCUCAGGAUGAACGCUGGCGGCGUGCUUAACACAUGCAAGUCGAACGGGAAACUUUUCAUUGAAGCUUCGGCAGAUUUGGUCUGUUUCUAGUGGCGGACGGGUGAGUAACGCGUGGGUAACCUGCCUCAUACAGGGGGAUAACAGUUAGAAAUGGCUGCUAAUACCGCAUAAGCGCACAGGACCGCAUGGUCUGGUGUGAAAAACUCCGGUGGUAUGAGAUGGACCCGCGUCUGAUUAGCUAGUUGGAGGGGUAACGGCCCACCAAGGCGACGAUCAGUAGCCGGCCUGAGAGGGUGAACGGCCACAUUGGGACUGAGACACGGCCCAG